rnacentral:tRNA from 2 species
CGCGGGGUAGAGCAGUUUGGUUAGCUCGUCAGGCUCAUAAUCUGAAGGUCGUAGGUUCGAAUCCUACCCCCGCUACCA